UACGUAGGGUGCAAGCGUUGUCCGGAAUUAUUGGGCGUAAAGAGCUCGUAGGCGGCUUGUCACGUCGACUGUGAAAACCCGGGGCUCAACUCCGGGCCUGCAGUCGAUACGGGCAGGCUAGAGUUCGGUAGGGGAGACUGGAAUUCCUGGUGUAGCGGUGAAAUGCGCAGAUAUCAGGAGGAACACCGGUGGCGAAGGCGGGUCUCUGGGCCGAUACUGACGCUGAGGAGCGAAAGCGUGGGGAGCGAACAGG
rnacentral:rRNA from 1 species